rnacentral:rRNA from 1 species
UACAGAGGUCUCAAGCGUUGUUCGGAUUCAUUGGGCGUAAAGGGUGCGUAGGUGGCGGGGUUAGUCAGGUGUGAAAUCUCGAGGCUCAACCUUGAAACUGCACUUGAUACUGCCUUGCUUGAGUACUGGAGAGGAGAUUGGAAUUUACGGUGUAGCAGUGAAAUGCGUAGAUAUCGUAAGGAAGACCAGUGGCGAAGGCGAAUCUCUGGACAGUUACUGACACUGAGGCACGAAGGCCAGGGGAGCAAACGGGG